rnacentral:rRNA from 1 species
AUGAACGCUGGCGGCGUGCCUAAUACAUGCAAGUCGAGCGAACAGAUGAGGAGCUUGCUCCUCUGACGUUAGCGGCGGACGGGUGAGUAACACGUGGAUAACCUACCUAUAAGACUGGGAUAACUUCGGGAAACCGGAGCUAAUACCGGAUAAUAUAUUGAACCGCCUGGUUCAAUAGUGAAAGACGGUUUUGCUGUCACUUAUAGAUGGAUCCGCGCCGCAUUAGCUAGUUGGUAAGGUAACGGCUUACCAAGGCGACGAUGCGUAGCCGACCUGAGAGGGUGAUCGGCCACACUGGAACUGAGACACGGUCCAGACUCCUACGGGAGGCAGCAGUAGGGAAUCUUCCGCAAUGGGCGAAAGCCUGACGGAGCAACGCCGCGUGAGUGAUGAAGGUCUUCGGAUCGUAAAACUCUGUUAUUAGGGAAGAACAAAUGUGUAAGUAACUAUGCACGUCUUGACGGUACCUAAUCAGAAAGCCACGGCUAACUACGUG